rnacentral:rRNA from 1 species
UACGGGGGGGGCAAGCGUUGUUCGGAAUUACUGGGCGUAAAGGGCUCGUAGGCGGCCAACUAAGUCGGAUGUGAAAUCCCCAGGCUUAACCUGGGAACUGCAUCCGAUACUGGAUGGCUUGAAUCCGGGAGAGGGAUGCAGAAUUCCAGGUGUAGCGGUGAAAUGCGUAGAUAUCUGGAGGAACACCGAUGGCGAAGGCAGCUGCCUGGCCCAGAACUGACGCUGAGGUGCGAAAGCGUGGGGAGCGAACGGG